rnacentral:rRNA from 1 species
UACGUAGGUGGCAAGCGUUGUCCGGAUUUACUGGGCGUAAAGAGCGCGCAGGCGGUCAGAUAAGUCGAAUGUGAAAGCCCCUGGCUCAACUGGGGAGGGUCAUUCGAUACUGUUCGACUCGAAGGCAGGAGAGGGAAGUGGAAUUCCCGGUGUAGUGGUGAAAUGCGUAGAUAUCGGGAGGAACACCAGUGGCGAAGGCGACUACCUGGCCUGUUUCUUGACGCUGAGGCGCGAAAGCUAGGGGAGCAAACGGG